rfam:Macaca mulatta chromosome 13, whole genome shotgun sequence.
AACUGGGGGGGAUCGCGGGGGUGGGUAUACCUAUGAAACAAUAAUGUAGGUGUCCCAUGGCAAGCUCAGGUAGGGUAUAAACCUCCUAUGGAGCAGAAGGGAAAAGCUGACUUGAUCUUGAUUUUCAGUAUAAAUAUAGACCAUGAAAGCAGAG